GCCGGCGUAUUCAAGUGGCUGAAGAAUUCUGUCUUGAAAACAGAGAGGGGUGUAAAAACUCGCGAGCGUUCGAAUCGUUCCGCCGGCGCCA
rnacentral:tRNA from 1 species